GAAAUGCGAUAAGUAAUGUGAAUUGCAGAAUUCAGUGAAUCAUCGAAUCUUUGAACGCACCUUGCGCUCCUUGGUAUUCCGAGGAGCAUGCCUGUUUGAGUGUCAUGGAAUUCUCAACUCUAUUUGCUUUUGUGAAUAGAGCUUGGAUUUGGAGGUUUAUUGCUGGUACUUGUGAUCGGCUCCUCUUGAAUGCAUUAGCUCGAACCUUUGCGGAUCAGCUAUCGGUGUGAUAAUUGUCUACGUCGUUGCAGUGAAGCAUAUCAAUGGGCUCGGCUUCCAAUCGUCCUUUACUGGACAAUGACUUUGACCUUUGACCUCAAAUCAGGUAGGAUUACCCGCUGAACUUAAGC
rnacentral:misc_RNA from 1 species